AACGAACGCUGGCGGCAGGCUUAACACAUGCAAGUCGAACGCGCCCUUCGGGGCGAGUGGCAGACGGGUGAGUAACGCGUGGGAACCUACCUUUUGGUACGGAAUAACUCAGGGAAACUUGAGCUAAUACCGUAUGUGCCCUGUCCUUUAACGGGAUUUGGGGAAAGAUUCAUCGCCAAAGGAUGGGCCCGCGUCGGAUUAGCUAGUUGGUGGGGUAAUGGCCUACCAAGGCGACGAUCCGUAGCUGGUCUGAGAGGAUGAUCAGCCACACUGGGACUGAGACACGGCCCAGACUCCUACGGGAGGCAGCAGUGGGGAAUAUUGGACAAUGGGGGCAACCCUGAUCCAGCCAUGCCGCGUGAGUGAUGAAGGCCUUAGGGUUGUAAAGCUCUUUCGCCGGUGAAGAUAAUGACGGUAACCGGAGAAGAAGCCCCGGCUAACUUCGUGCCAGCAGCCGCGGUAACAC
rnacentral:rRNA from 1 species